UCAAAAUCGGACCAGUCAAGAAAAAAUUAUAGUCUAGCAUAGAUCACCAAGAACCAAAACCAAGUUUGGUUUACAAGAAAACAUGAACAAGUGACUGCGAGUAAGUCAAAGCCUAUACUCAUAACAGGCUUGUUUUUUCACCAACAUGAUAGACUGGGGCCUGGUCAUUGUAGCUCUUGCAAUACUCGUGGUGAUUCUUGAAUAUUUACUCAACAGUACAGCAGAGACGUGUGUAAUUUUUGUAUUUAUUACUUACAUGUGUAUAUUUCAAUAACCAAGAAUCACAAAGUCACUGUAAGGAAGCAGUAUUUAACCAGACAAAACGAUGGACAGAGAUUUGCUAGUGGUCGUAAUCCUCAUAGGCUUCGCUUUUCUGAUUCACUCUAACCAGCUUGAUCAGACCAAUUUUCUCCUGUUGCUGGCUGUGGUGAUCAUCGUUCUGCUGGUGUUAUGAUCAUACAACCUCGUCGUGCAUAGUCUUCCCAAACGUACCUGACGCGGACUAACCCAUCCUUCACACCUUUAACAACAACGAAUAACAAUAAUGUACAAUAACAAUGAUGGACAAUAUACUAAUUUAACUAUGUGAAA